rfam:Ricinus communis cultivar Hale ctg_1100012361169, whole genome shotgun sequence.
AAUUUGUGGUGCGGGCAACAUCGAAGCAAGUCCUUGUACCUCUUCUAGGCAUCAUACAUGUUCUCGUCAUUGAACUGCAUAAAAGAAGAUAUGUCAUUUCUCAAUCU